rnacentral:tRNA from 1 species
GGGAUGGUAGCUUAGCCUGGUAAACCUUUCCUAAAAGCGGAAAGAAUAGGUUCAGGAUAGAGCACCUGACUGAUAAUCAGGAGGUCGCCAGUUCAAAUCUGGUCCAUCCCA